AGAUGCUUAUCAUAUUGAUGUAUAACUUGAAAAGAGAAUAGUUCAUGAUGUAUUCAGAUCUGAAAUCAAGGCGUGACAGAUAUAGAUGCUAACCUACAAAAGAAGAUGUUAAAAGAUGCUUCAUGUUAGAAUUUGACAGAUCUGUGAGUAUUGGUUGAUGUUUCUUCUUAAAGAUAGUGAGAAAAUAAACAACUUUAACUUGAAAAUCCUUAACAUCAAUUUAAUAAUGAUCUCACUAAUUGUGUUUCAGGCUUUUAUAAUUGCAUCAACUACAACAGAGGAGGAGAUGCUAAGCUGGACCAUGGUCUCUCAACUGGUGAAGCAAGAACAAAUAGAAAUUAUUGUUGCCAAAGUGAAUUAACUUAGGAAUUUAUAUAACAUUCUUAUGCAAUUCCUUUUAAGGUGUAUAUGUUUUGGUUUUCUAAGUGGCAUAUUUUGAAUUUUAAGAUUUGAAAUAUUUAUAGAUCAACUUUUUAUAAUUUACUUCAUAUCCUUUACUUGUAAUUGCUUAGGCAAAAGAAAUUCAUCCGUCUUACUGAUAACAUUGUGCAGCUUGGAUACGAGAUGUGUAUUCAUUUAUUGUAUUUGAUUUUCCACUUUUUUCUUUGA